UAGGAAAAAGAAAAGGAAGCCCAAAGAAUCUCACAAACAACAACAUGGGUUUUAUUUCUAACUCAGUUAGGUCACAUUUCUUUAGCUGAGAAAAAUUAUGUGGAAAUUGGAUUUCUCCAAAAUAAAAAUAAAAGCUUUCUCCGCAAAGAUAAUUCGUUAAAGUCAAUAUAUGAAUCAUUAAAGCAAGAUAUAAAGCGUUUGGAAGAUGCCUCUGCUCAAGAUAGACCUGUCAUAAAUUAUUGUCAGAACAUUAUUCAAUUUCUAGAAGCCCGCAUCAAUGUAAUGGAUUUGUAU